AGCGAACGCUGGCGGCAGGCCUAACACAUGCAAGUCGAACGAACCUUUCGGGGUUAGUGGCGUACGGGUGAGUAACACGUGGGAACGUGCCUUUAGGCUCGGAAUAACUCAGGGAAACUUGUGCUAAUACCGAAUGUGCCCUUCGGGGGAAAGAUCUAUCGCCUUUAGAGCUGCCCGCGUCUGAUUAGCUAGUUGGUUGAGGUAAUGGCUCACCAAGGCGACGAUCAGUAGCUGGUCUGAGAGGAUGAUCAGCCACAUUGGGACUGAGACACGGCCCAAACUCCUACGGGAGGCAGCAGUGGGGAAUCUUGCGCAAUGGGCGAAAGCCUGACGCAGCCAUGCCGCGUGAAUGAUGAAGGUCUUAGGAUUGUAAAAUUCUUUCACCGGGGACGAUAAUGACGGUACCCGGAGAAGAAGCCCCGGCUAACUUCGUG
rnacentral:rRNA from 1 species